AGGAUCACCAGUUUGGGUCCCACUGGCCCUAAGUGUCUGACUCAGGGAAGACCUUGUGCCUCUCACCCUGGACUCAGAUUCUGACAAUCGUGCUUAUUUUUCUCUAUUUUUGGAAUCGUAGUACCAGUUGAGCACCACUGAGAGGCGGUGGAGACCUCAAGGGGUGGAACCAUCAGGUCUAGGCCGCUGGGGGACUGCAGGAUCAGCUCUUUCUCCCUUUCUGGCUGUGCUGCUGCCAUAAUGUGCGCCUUGACGAAGCCUAACAGCAACAGCCUCAACCUGUCAUGGACCGAGACUUCCUUCCAGACAGGUGGGCCGAGCGCCUCUCCUCUGCAUAAGUCUGUUAUCCUAGGGCUUGGUUAGCAGGGCCGGGAGCUAGCGCGCAGACCAAAGCAACGGAAGCAGAGAGGGACGUCACGGAGGUUUCCAAAGUUUUGUUCAUUUCCGUUUAACUCACUUUCUUGUCUGUGUCACGAUCUUCCUGAAAAAUGCGCCUUGGGGACGAGGAGUCCUUUGUGACUCUCACCAGCCAGAUUUUCGGGGGAUUCGCCCGCAGACGAGAGGCCGGGGAGCGCAACACGAACCUUAGCGUUUCCCAAAGAUGUUACUUCAAGGCUGCUCGUGAGAGGCACUUGCUCCUUAACAACUGCGGAGGGCGGACGCGGCGGUGCUGCGCUGGGACAGGCGAGUCAGCCAGCGGAGGGCUCGCUCCGGGCUCCGGGCUCCUGGCGCUACGGUCGCUCCCUGACCUGAGACGCAGCCGAGAACUGAGCGAGACAAGCCAAAAAUGGGCCAAAGUUUAACUGGAAGCGGGGAUGAGGGAGAAACUGGCCCUGCACAGCGAACGUGGGCCGAACAAGAGCAGAAAAGAGAAAAACAAAAGUGCAGCCUGACCCGGGAGACACGGUAGGAGCGACCGUGAGGAGCCUUGACAGCAGAGUCUCCGCUGUGUAUAGUUUCUUUAUAGGGUCCACAUCUCGCGAGAACCCACGAGAAGACCACGUGAGGUCCCGAGAGGCCCUGCUGUGUUGAUCCUGGAAUCCCGCCAUGCUUCUCUUCCCACCUCGCCCAAGCCACGCCCUAUGUCCUACCUCAGUGGUGCUAACCGAGCUGCUUAUCCCACUGACUCAGGAUGAAGUGUGUUUUCACCCAAAGCUUUCAUUCCCCAUUUGAGGGCCUCACUAAGUCUCUGAAUUGCCCAGGCUGGGUUUGAACUUCUGAUCCUCCUGCGUCAGCUUUCUAGAACCUCAAGAUUACAGUUGCUGGCUGUUUCUUAUUUGUUCAAGUUGCAAUCUGCAGGACCGAAGGUCAUCAGUCCAGCUGCCUCCUUUGGGUCCUUCCUGUCUGAACUCCACUGGUGCCAGUAUUUUCAACAUCCUCACUGAAAAACACUUGGGAAAGGGCAGUCGGAAGCUUAGGUUAUGACUCAGGAAGGGGCCAAGAGACUGUGCAUUUGCUUCACGGAUGGGGACACUAAGACGUAUGCAUUUCCGGUUGCUGUUGGGAGAAAUUGAAGCAGGACUUAAAGAAAAACAAGCCCAUUCCAGCCGUGGACAGUUCCCCCUGCCCCACCACUCCCCUCCCCUGGAGCUGCAACUCCUUGUUCUGGUACAGAUAAAAUUGACUACUAUGUCCUGUAAACAAACUUUACAGUUCUCAUAUGAUUCAUAAGACACUAUCUUUCAAGACAAAGUUAGAAAACUGUCUGCCCUUGUCGCGUUCUGGUAAACUCACUUGCUACGUCGCUAGAAAAACCACCUCCUUCGACAAAAUGUGUACAAGCUGGAACUUCUCUUUGUUCAACGCUCUUCCUUUGGACAGGAGUCUGUUGAGCUGGUAUACACUUUAAACCUGAAAUAAAGUCCUCCUAUGUCA
ensembl:lncRNA